rnacentral:lncRNA from 10 species
GGUGGGGCAGCCACGCUUGGCAGGAGUCAGGGGACCUGCCUGUUCUCAUCAUCCCUCUCCAGCCCUUCACCACCACCACUCACUGAGUGACCUUGGGACCAGCUUUCUUGGUGAUUCCUUCCUCAUGGCAGAAAAUGGCUACCUCUUAUGUUCCAAUUCUGGAACAGUAGAGUUCUAGACAUAUCUACAUUCAGAAUAAAAAACUGAUAAGCCAGGAAUGAGUCCACUAUGGCCAGAUGACAUCCAGUACCAAUGUGGACUUUAAGGACCCAAAGAAGUGGGGCUUUUGAGGAGUAGGUAGACAUCCCUAAAGGAUGUACAAGGAUGUACGGGGUCAUCUCAUUUUUAAUAUUAGGAAGUUGUCUUCCUAGAAAAAUAGAAAGAUAUAAACCAGAUUUUAAUAGAAGUUAUUCAUGGAUGUAAAAUUAUGAGAAUUUUGGUUAUUUCUUUUGCUUAUAUUUUCUAUAAUUUAUACUGAAAUAUACAUUAAUUUUAUAAAUUAAAAAAGUUAAUUUAAAAAACUAAACUAUUGCGCCAUUAUGACAUAAAGCUAAGUGAGGGGAAAAUAAGGUUUUUAAAAAUCCAUAUUGCUUAUAUCUCUUAACUAAACAAAACACAUAUGCAUAGAAAAAGAAUGGAAGACAAUAAAAUAUUAGCAGAGGUACCCCAAGAUGACAGAAUUAAGGAUUUAUUUUUAUUUUCUCAUGUAUCACUUUCUGAAUUUUU